rnacentral:rRNA from 1 species
UACGGGGGGAGCAAGCGUUGUUCGGAUUUACUGGGCGUAAAGCGCGGGCAGGCGGUUUGACAAGUGGGAUGUGAAAGCGCUCGGCUUAACCGGGCGAGGCCAUUCCAAACUGUCUGACUGGAGGGCAGUAGAGGUGGGUAGAAUUCCGGGUGGAGUGGUGAAAUGCGUAGAGAUCCGGAGGAAUACCAGAGGCGAAGGCGGCCCACUGGGCUGCACCUGACGCUGAGCCGCGAAAGCCAGGGGAGCGAACGGG